CCUCCUCCUUCCCCCGCCUUUCCGGCGUCCUCCUUUCGGUGUUGGGGUUGUUUUUUGGUUUUUUUUUUUCUUUGUUUUUAAUUUUCUCCUCUCUUUCAAAAAAAAAAAAAAAAGAAAAAAAAAUCGAGCAAAAAAAAAAAAAGAAAGAAAGAAAAAUAGGGGAAAAAAAAAUUAACAAAACAAACAAACAAACAAAAGCGAGCAGAAAAGCGAACGCGAAGCCAAGCAGGCAGAAAGCUCCGGUCGGGCGGCGGGUGCGGGCUGCGGCCGGGCCUUGCGGAACAGCGGUGGUUUCGAAGCGAUGCACGCGGAAGCCUUUUUCCCACUUUCCCAGCGAUGGUCGCAGAGAGGCGGGCAGCGAGCUUCGCUCUCCCCUUUCCUUCUCCUUUGGCCGUAGCGAGCUGCUGCUUAUCUAUCGUGCUGGGGGACCGCUGACUCCGAGCAGAGCAGGGCCGGCCCGUGGCGCGGGGAGGACCCAACUUUCAGACCCACCGAUCCGUGCGUAAGGGCAGAGAACGGCAGCCGGGGCCGUUUGGGAAAAGCCCCAAACUCCACGUAGGGUUUACUUACAGAAACAAACAAACAAAAAGACAAAAAGUUACCACGCAAACCUUACCGCUCUGUAUAUAUGUUUAAUAUUUGUCCUUUGAAAUGCAGAAAUAGUUUCGAUGUUUUCUUUGUCUAUUUUUCUUUUUUUUUUUUUCUUUUUUUCUUUUUUUUUUAAAUGCUACCCAGGGAAAUAUUUUCAUAUCAUUUUUAAGUGGCCUGCCUCAAUGUAUAUUUAUUUCUUGGAAAGCGAACAGGUUCUGGAAACUGUUUUUCUGUAGCUUUAAAUGAGUAGGUGAACAAAUCUAUAUGGGAUGUAAUUUUUUUUUCUUUUUUUUUUUCUUUUUUUUUUUUUUUUGGUUCGGUCUCUUUACAAACACUUUGUUUUGGUACAUUUGGAUGUGCUUGUGGGGAAAAAAAUAAAAACGCAGAGAUCCUUAUAUAUUUAUGUUAAAGUAAUAUUUUAUUAUCUACAUAAAACAGAAAUGCAC
ensembl:lncRNA